ensembl:lncRNA
ACUUGUCUUCGGAUGCCACCAAGUCCUUCAUUGCCUCCAGAGGUGGACUUGCGGUUUUCAUUUUGGCCAGAGGUGUCAGUGAUUGUCUGCUCCCAUGAUGACUCGCGUCCAGCCUUGUUGGCUCUGUUGUUUGUGAAGGGCUUAUUUCCCUUCCUGGAGAGCUUCUCGCUUCCCUUUCUGAUCUUGGAACAGAGGGCCUUGCUGGCUGCUUUGAGCUUGGCCCAGGCACGCUGAAUGCAGCGGCACAGAAAGCGUGGCACACAGCAGCCUGUACACAGCUGAGAUGGAGUCUGUGACCUUUGUGUCCUGCUUGAUGCAACUGCAGAUCUACUUCCCUCUGGCUCUUGAGCAGCAGGGUCAGAUGGAGACACACCCUUGGAUCCUUCAUUGCUAGGCAGGACGCGGUGUGGUGUGAAAUAGUUUUGCUUGUUCUUCUCAAUGUGUUCAUACUGCUCCAGCCACAGAUGCAUCAACCUGUUCGCCUGGUUGUCAGGGUGUUCACAGAGUCUGUAGCACUCAGCAUGGACUGUACGCAUUGUUUCUUGUUUGCGUAUGUCCAUCAGGGAGGCAGAUUUUCGCCACUGACCAAAGGCCUGUGCUGAUGACCUCCAUUCCUGAGCCUGCAUGUGCCUGCGCUGGAAGGGCAAGCGAGGGUACCUCCUUGUUUGCCACAGUGGAUGUGGAAGCUUGGAGUCUUUGUGCCCCAGAUUAGGCUCUGAGAGGCUCUUCUGCAGGUGCACUGGUGCCUGCAUUUUCAUGUCAGCACGCUCCAGGAGACUUCUCAUAGCCUCAUCCACCAAGGACAGGUCCCGCUCCUGGGACUUUGGUUGUGGGCAAGGUGUCUUCAUAUCCUCGCAACAGGUGAUGGUGCCCUCAUUGCUGCCCCACUCAUUGCUGCCCUCAUUGCUGCCCUCUUUGCUGCCCUCAUUGCUGCCCUCAUUGCUGCCCUCAGGCAUUUGCAACAUGAGCCUGUGUGAGAUGGAGAAAGAGAAGGAAGAUGAAGGCAGUUCUGAGCCAAACACUCCUGAGGGCCCCA